UACAGGGGGCGCGAGCGUUGCUCGGAAUCACUGGGCGUAAAGCGUACGCAGGCGGGUCGAUAAGUCCGUUGUGAAAUCCCGGGGCUCAACCCCGGAAAUGCGAUGGAGACUGCCGAUCUUGAGUACGGGAGAGGGGAGCGGAAUUCCUGGUGUAGAGGUGAAAUUCGUAGAUAUUCGCAAGAACACCAGUGGCGAAGGCGGCUCACUGGCCCGGUACUGACGCUGAGGUGCGAAAGCGUGGGGAGCAA
rnacentral:rRNA from 1 species